UGAACGCUAGCUACAGGCUUAACACAUGCAAGUCGAGGGGCAGCAUGGUCUUAGCUUGCUAAGGCCGAUGGCGACCGGCGCACGGGUGAGUAACGCGUAUCCAACCUGCCUUACACUCUUGGACAGCCUUCUGAAAGGGAGAUUAAUACAAGAUGUUAUCAUGAGUAAGCAUUUUCGCAUGAUUAAAGGUUUACCGGUGUAAGAUGGGGAUGCGUUCCAUUAGAUAGUAGGCGGGGUAACGGCCCACCUAGUCUUCGAUGGAUAGGGGUUCUGAGAGGAAGGUCCCCCACAUUGGAACUGAGACACGGUCCAAACUCCUACGGGAGGCAGCAGUGAGGAAUAUUGGUCAAUGGACGAGAGUCUGAACCAGCCAAGUAGCGUGAAGGAUGAAGGUUCUAUGGAUUGUAAACUUCUUUUAUACGGGAAUAAACGGAUCCACGUGUGGAUUUUUGCAUGUACCGUAUGAAUAAGGAUCGGCUAACUCCGUGCCAGCAGCCGCGGUAAUACGGAGGAUCCGAGCGUUAUCCGGAUUUAUUGGGUUUAAAGGGAGCGUAGAUGGGUUGUUAAGUCAGUUGUGAAAGUUUGCGGCUCAACCGUAAAAUUGCAAUUGAUACUGGCAGUCUUGAGUACAGUUGAGGUAGGCGGAAUUCGUGGUGUAGCGGUGAAAUGCUUAGAUAUCACGAAGAACUCCGAUUGCGAAGGCAGCUUACUAACCUGUAACUGACAUUGAUGCUCGAAAGUGUGGGUAUCAAACAGGAUUAGAUACCCUGGUAGUCCACACGGUAAACGAUGAAUACUCGCUGUAGGCGAUAUACAGUCUGCGGCCAAGCGAAAGCAUUAAGUAUUCCACCUGGGGAGUACGCCGGCAACGGUGAAACUCAAAGGAAUUGACGGGGGCCCGCACAAGCGGAGGAACAUGUGGUUUAAUUCGAUGAUACGCGAGGAACCUUACCCGGGCUUAAAUUGCAACCGAAUAUGGCGGAAACGCUAUAGCUAGCAAUAGCGGUUGUGAAGGUGCUGCAUGGUUGUCGUCAGCUCGUGCCGUGAGGUGUCGGCUUAAGUGCCAUAACGAGCGCAACCCUUGCCGAUAGUUACUAACAGGUCAUGCUGAGGACUCUGUCGGGACUGCCAUCGUAAGAUGUGAGGAAGGUGGGGAUGACGUCAAAUCAGCACGGCCCUUACGUCCGGGGCUACACACGUGUUACAAUGGGGGGUACAGAGGGCUGCUACCACGCAAGUGGAUGCCAAUCCCAAAAACCUCUCUCAGUUCGGAUUGAAGUCUGCAACCCGACUUCAUGAAGCUGGAUUCGCUAGUAAUCGCGCAUCAGCCACGGCGCGGUGAAUACGUUCCCGGGCCUUGUACACACCGCCCGUCAAGCCAUGGGAGCCGGGGGUACCUGAAGUGCGUAACCGCAAGGAGCGCCCUAGGGUAAAACUGGUGAC
rnacentral:rRNA from 1 species